AUCGAACGCUGGCGGCAGGCCUAACACAUGCAAGUCGAGCGGUAGCACAGGGAGCUUGCUCCUGGGUGACGAGCGGCGGACGGGUGAGUAAUGUCUGGGAAACUGCCUGAUGGAGGGGGAUAACUACUGGAAACGGUAGCUAAUACCGCAUAACGUCGCAAGACCAAAGAGGGGGACCUUCGGGCCUCUUGCCAUCAGAUGUGCCCAGAUGGGAUUAGCUAGUAGGUGGGGUAACGGCUCACCUAGGCGAUGAUCCCUAGCUGGUCUGAGAGGAUGACCAGCCACACUGGAACUGAGACACGGUCCAGACUCCUACGGGAGGCAGCAGUGGGGAAUAUUGCACAAUGGGCGCAAGCCUGAUGCAGCCAUGCCGCGUGUAUGAAGAAGGCCUUCGGGUUGUAAAGUACUUUCAGCGGGGAGGAAGGUGUUGAGGUUAAUAACCUCAGCAAUUGACGUUACCCGCAGAAGAAGCACCGGCUAACUCCGUGCCAGCCGCCGCGGUAA
rnacentral:rRNA from 1 species